rnacentral:rRNA from 1 species
UGCAAGUCGAACGAACUCUGGUAUUGAUUGGUGCUUGCAUCAUGAUUUACAUUUGAGUGAGUGGCGAACUGGUGAGUAACACGUGGGAAACCUGCCCAGAAGCGGGGGAUAACACCUGGAAACAGAUGCUAAUACCGCAUAACAACUUGGACCGCAUGGUCCGAGUUUGAAAGAUGGCUUCGGCUAUCACUUUUGGAUGGUCCCGCGGCGUAUUAGCUAGAUGGUGGGGUAACGGCUCACCAUGGCAAUGAUACGUAGCCGACCUGAGAGGGUAAUCGGCCACAUUGGGACUGAGACACGGCCCAAACUCCUACGGGAGGCAGCAGUAGGGAAUCUUCCACAAUGGACGAAAGUCUGAUGGAGCAACGCCGCGUGAGUGAAGAAGGGUUUCGGCUCGUAAAACUCUGUUGUUAAAGAAGAACAUAUCUGAGAGUAACUGUUCAGGUAUUGACGGUAUUUAACCAGAAAGCCACGGCUAACUACGUGCCAGCAGCCGCGGUAAUACGUAGGUGGCAAGCGUUGUCCGGAUUUAUUGGGCGUAAAGCGAGCGCAGGCGGUUUUUUAAGUCUGAUGUGAAAGCCUUCGGCUCAACCGAAGAAGUGCAUCGGAAACUGGGAAACUUGAGUGCAGAAGAGGACAGUGGAACUCCAUGUGUAGCGGUGAAAUGCGUAGAUAUAUGGAAGAACACCAGUGGCGAAGGCGGCUGUCUGGUCUGUAACUGACGCUGAGGCUCGAAAGUAUGGGUAGCAAACAGGAUUAGAUACCCUGGUAGUCCAUACCGUAAACGAUGAAUGCUAAGUGUUGGAGGGUUUCCGCCCUUCAGUGCUGCAGCUAACGCAUUAAGCAUUCCGCCUGGGGAGUACGGCCGCAAGGCUGAAACUCAAAGGAAUUGACGGGGGCCCGCACAAGCGGUGGAGCAUGUGGUUUAAUUCGAAGCUACGCGAAGAACCUUACCAGGUCUUGACAUACUAUGCAAAUCUAAGAGAUUAGACGUUCCCUUCGGGGACAUGGAUACAGGUGGUGCAUGGUUGUCGUCAGCUCGUGUCGUGAGAUGUUGGGUUAAGUCCCGCAACGAGCGCAACCCUUAUUAUCAGUUGCCAGCAUUAAGUUGGGCACUCUGGUGAGACUGCCGGUGACAAACCGGAGGAAGGUGGGGAUGACGUCAAAUCAUCAUGCCCCUUAUGACCUGGGCUACACACGUGCUACAAUGGAUGGUACAACGAGUUGCGAACUCGCGAGAGUAAGCUAAUCUCUUAAAGCCAUUCUCAGUUCGGAUUGUAGGCUGCAACUCGCCUACAUGAAGUCGGAAUCGCUAGUAAUCGCGGAUCAGCAUGCCGCGGUGAAUACGUUCCCGGGCCUUGUACACACCGCCCGUCACACCAUGAGAGUUUGUAACACCCAAAGUCGGUGGGGUAACCUUUUAGGAACCAGCCGCCUAAGUG